UUUUUUUUUUUUUUUUUUGAGACACUGUGUCACCCAGGCUGGAGUACAGGAGUACAAACAGGCUCACUGCAACCUCUGCAACUUGGGUUCAAGCAAUUCUUGUGCCUCCUGGGUAGCUGUGAUUACAGGUGUGUGCCAUCACGCCCUGCCUUUUAUUUUUAUUUUUUAUUUUUAGUACAGAUGGGUUUUCACCAUGUUGGCCAGGCUGAUCUCGAACUCCUGGCCUCAAGUAAUCCACCUGCCUCAGCCUCCCAAAGUGCUGAGGUUACAAUGUGAGCCACUGCGCAUGGCCGAGAAGGCCGCUUUUUUAAACAAAAGGCUUAUCUCGUGGGAAGUCAGUAGGAGAGCCAGGGAUGGGGAAGCAGUUCUGGCACUAGAUCAGCAAUGGCAGUUUCUCGGGUCACAGCUGUGUGAGGUCUGUGCUGUCAGCCUUGUGUUCUGAAGUGUAAGCUUUUGGUUAAGACAGUGGGGAGAUAGGGGACUUGGGCUCUGGUCCAGCUCCAUACCAUGCCAGCUGUGUGAUGGAGCUCCUCUCAGAGCCUAAUGCCACCUUGAGUUCUACCCAUCUUGCAGAGCUGUGGGGCUCAGAAGAGAAGGACUCCAUCUUUGGAGAGCAUCUUGGUGUUCAACAUGCUUUCACUCUUCAGCCUCCUUAGAGGGGGCCAGUAGUUGGAGAAAAUGAGGAUUGGAUAAUGCUAAGCUCCUUGCCUAAAGUUCGCAGUGGAACCAGGAUUCAGACCCACUAGAGGGCACCCUGAAAGUGCUUGGAGGAUAGAACAGUGCCAUCUGUGUGGCAGCAAGCCUUCAACACUAGAAUCCUAGUGACCUUAAGAGGAUGACACCUAGCAGAGCUAUAGGAAGGAAGACAAUACACCUGUUUUGUUACUUCCUGGAGAUGUAAAACCUAUAGGCAGAGGCCUAGUCGUAGGCAAAAGAUGACUCACCUGAACCUCCCUGUUCUUCUUAUAUCCUUUCCCUGCUAUCUCUACAUUGGGUACCUAAUGACCUUGCUGGGAAGAAGGCCAUGUCUGAUAUAUACCAAGGUCUUGAUACCACUGGCUACCCUUACCAUGACCUUGACAUGAGAAGUCUACCAAGGUUAACAUUUCAGGGGUGGUGGCACCUGGGAGGGAAGACUGUAUGGGGCACCUUGAGUCCUGUUCAUGUCAUUCCUGGCAUGAUUUAAGUGAAGUCUAAUUGCUGAUUGUAUGAGCAGCCACCCAUUCUCUGUUAUUACUUUAUGUGUCUUCCAACAGCUGCUUCUAUACUGGGCUUCCGAUCCCAGCGUGCAGACAAGCCACUUGUGAGGAGUUAGUUCUGUGUAGCCCCAGUGGGAGCCCCCCCAUGGGAGGGGCUUCCACAGCUGUUGUUUGGGCAGAGCCAAUGCAAUUUGUUGGGCACCAAGACCAUCUAUGAGUCCAGGACCAGCACCUUACGUGGUGUACUUACCAACAUCCUCGAAAGUAUAUUCCAUUUCUGCAGGAUAGGAGAAUGGUUUCCCAUCUGCACCCACGCUCAGUAUAUAGUUCACGUGGAGGACAUAGUAGGUUUCAUUCCUGUUCAUGUACUAGAAGAUAUCACAGGAAC
ensembl:lncRNA